rnacentral:tRNA from 1 species
GCCUCAGUAGCCGAACCUGGCUAAGACACUCUCCCCGAAAAGUCGAGAGGUCCCAGGUUCGAAUCCUGGCUGAAGUA